UUACUUAAGUUUCUAAAAGCUUUUUACGUCACAAACAAAAACUUCAAAUCAAUUUUCCCUUCUAACUUUUGAUUUCUCUCCCUUGAUCAUCGUUUUCUCGCUGCUUCUCCGUCUCCGAGCUAGGGUUUUCUUUCCGUCGUCACAUUAGAACCCACUCUAAACCGUUUUGGAGAUAACCGUCUUAGGUGGCGGAGGAUCGACGGCGAUGCUGGUGUCAUUCCACCGGCGGAAUUUUUGGCAGAGAAGUUGCUCGAUUGAGCGAGGAGGGCGACGAUGAUGGCGCUGGAGAUUGUGAACUUGAAGACAGGGUUGCAGCGAGGGUGCGAAGGAAAUUGGCGAAGACGUUAUGUGCGAAUGUCACCUCCGAUUUCCGCCACCGCGAACGGUAUCAUCUCUGGUCUCCGCCUCGCUGCUCUAGGGUUCGCAACUCAAACCUGUGGAAAUUGGAAUCACACUCUCUGGAUCUGAUGGGUUCAAGAGUGUUUCUACUUAUGGUGCUGCAUUGUAAUUUCAGCUACUAUUCCCUCUUGAAGCUCUUCACUGAUAUUUUUCCAUCUCAAGGUAAUUUUCCUCUUCACAUCUUCUAUUGUGGCUCGGUUUAGGGUUUCACAAAUUUGGGGAAUUUCAUCCUUUUGAUCUUGUGACUGAUGAUUCCAUUAAGAGUCUCUAUAAUAAUGAAAAAAAUUGGUAGAACAAUGUGGACAUUUCAUGGUAUACGUUUUUGUACCUUCUACAAUAAGGUUUGGAUUGGAUUGAAUUAACUCACUCCUUUUUCUCUAUUGACAUAAUGACAUGUAAUGAAAUGACUUUGGAGUUGGAGUUCCCUUGGUGAUAUAUAUGCAUCUGUUAGUUGAUCCAUGAAACAGGGAAUCCUGUAGGUUUGAUUUCGUGACAAUGGAGACUGUUGAUGAUACUGAUUGAUAUCCUAAGUAUCUGAUAUCUGUGUACUUGAAGUUUCUGUGCCAACAGGUCAGCUGCAUGAAGCAACUCAUCAUCAAACUCCCAAAUGACAACUAAACAAACAAAUCAAAUACAACAGUAUCAGACCAUUGGGGUUGUAUGACCUUUUUAGAUCAUUCAUUUUGAUGAUUGUACAUGAUUCUGGUCUCCAACAAAGUUUAUGUUUUAAGUGUAUCCCACUGCUUUCUUUCUUUCUCUUUCGUAAGGAUCUCUCUCGAGUUCACAAGGGUCAAUUGAUGACAAUAUAGAUACAAUGAAGAAAUGUCUAAAAAUAUUUGAGUCUUUAAAUUUUUAGCUAAUGGGUUAGCUAGUGUUGGCAGUUUACAUAUGUCUUCUUGUAAUUGAUUUAUGUACUUUGGUGUUUCAAUCUUUAUGUACUCAAAUUCAGAUGCUGGAUCUCUAUAUUUCCUUUCAUGUUCAUGCCCAUUUGUUAGUUUGUUUGAACCUUGUCACAUCUUGAGGCAUACUUAUUGGGUGUUCAUGAGCUUGAGCAUUUCUUUA